CUUGAUUGCAAGCUGCUAGGAAAUUACAUGGGGUUUUUUUCCUUCUUUUUAGCAACACAGUUUUAUCUUUGAUGGGAUGGUGAAGGAUCCUCAAAUCUCUCUCAACUUUAACAUAAAGUCAGAGUCAACAGUACAUGAGGACUAUAUUACACAGGAAUGUUCUAAGAAAUUUCACAGAUUUAAACAUGAAGGUAUUAAUGCACAGAAUACUGAAGUCACUAUUUCACAGGAAAUUGUCCAGCCACAAAGUUAAAGAGCACACUGGAUGAAAUCAGCAGCUGCGGAAUGGAAUGGAAUGGAAUGGAAUGGAAUGGAAUAAUAACUUUGAUGGAUGGUUUCCAUCCACUCUGAAUGCAUCGACUUGGCUGCUACUGAAGGAUUUUACUCAAGGAAAUUAAAGUUGGAACUACUUUGAGGUUAACUAGGGAAGUAACAUUGUGUUUGGAAACCAAAAAAGAUCAGAUUAGAGGGGUGCUAGUAGGUAUAGAUGUGCAGUUUAUCCAACAUUUUUUCUCACUAGUAGUAAAAGUUCUCAAAAUAACUAAAAUAAAAAAUAGCAAACUUCAGAUAAGGCAAA